UAUAUGUUGGUGUAAAGGGCACAUAAAGGUUUGAUUUUUAAGGAAGUGGUGUAAUUCCAUUACAUA
rnacentral:tRNA from 1 species